UACGUAGGGCGCAAGCGUUGUCCGGAAUUACUGGGCGUAAAGCGUGCGCAGGCGGUUUUGUAAGCCAGGUGUGAAAUCCCCGGGCUCAACCUGGGAAUGGCAUUUGGGACUGCAAGGCUGGAGUGCGGCAGAGGAGACUGGAAUUCCUGGUGUAGCAGUGAAAUGCGUAGAUAUCAGGAGGAAUACCGAUGGCGAAGGCAGGUCACUGGGCCGCAACUGACGCUGAGGAGCGAAAGCAUGGGGAGCGAACAGG
rnacentral:rRNA from 1 species